UUCUUCCCUUGAAGAGUUCAUCUUUCUUUUAUGGUUGAACAUUCAUCAUCGAUCAUUUUAUCAGACUUAAGAGGGCUCCUUGGCAUCGUUUUGAUGAUGAUCAGCGGUAAUCAUACCUUUUCUUCCAUUUGAAGAGCUCAUUAUGUUGAAGAAAAUUUAUCAGCAAGAGGGAUGGAUGCUGGAAAACUGGAUGAAAGAAACUGUG
rnacentral:misc_RNA from 1 species